rnacentral:rRNA from 1 species
GACGAACGCUGGCGGCGUGCUUAACACAUGCAAGUCGAACGGAAAGGCCCUGCUUAUGUGGGGUGCUCGAGUGGCGAACGGGUGAGUAACACGUGAGUAACCUGCCCUUGACUUUGGGAUAACUUCAGGAAACUGGGGCUAAUACCGGAUAGGAGCUCCUGCUGCAUGGUGGGGGUGGGAAAGUUUCGGCGGUUGGGGAUGGACUCGCGGCUUAUCAGCUUGUUGGUGGGGUAGUGGCUUACCAAGGCUUUGACGGGUAGCCGGCCUGAGAGGGUGACCGGCCACAUUGGGCCUGAGAUACGACCCAGACUCCUACGGGAGGCAGCAGUGGGGAGUAUUGCACAAUGGGCGGAGGCCUGAUGCAGCAACGCCGCGUGCGGGAUGACGUCCUUCGGGUUGUAGACCGCUUUCGCCUGUGACGAAGCGUGAGUGACGGUACUGGGUAAAGAAGCACCGGCUAACUACGUG